rnacentral:rRNA from 1 species
GGAAGGUGGGGAUGACGUCAAGUCAUCAUGCCCCUUAUGCCCAGGGCUGCAAACACGCUACAAUGGCCGGUACAGAGGGCUGCGAACCCGCGAGGGUAAGCGAAUCCCACAAAGCCGGUCUCAGUUCGGAUUGGAGUCUGCAACUCGACUCCAUGAAGCCGGAGUUGCUAGUAAUCCUGGAUCAGCACGCCAGGGUGAAUACGUUCCCGGGCCUUGU